AGGGGUAACUCUGUCAGUGGCGGACGGGUGAGUAACGCGUAGGAAUCUGUCCUUGGGUGGGGGAUAACAGUGGGAAACUACUGCUAAUACCGCAUGACAACUGAGGUUUAAAGGCGCGAGUCGCCUGAGGAGGAGCCUGCGUUCGAUUAGCUAGUUGGUGGGGUAAAGGCCUACCAAGGCGACGAUCGAUAGCUGGUCUGAGAGGAUGAUCAGCCACACUGGGACUGAGACACGGCCCAGACUCCUACGGGAGGCAGCAGUGGGGAAUAUUGGACAAUGGGCGCAAGCCUGAUCCAGCAAUGCCGCGUGGGUGAAGAAGGUUUUCGGAUUGUAAAGCCCUUUUGGCAGGGACGAUGAUGACGGUACCUGCAGAAUAAGCCCCGGCUAACUUCGUGCCAGCAGCCGCGGUAAUACGAAGGGGGCUAGCGUUGCUCGGAAUGACUGGGCGUAAAGGGCGCGUAGGCGGCGAUCAAAGUCAGGCGUGAAAUUCCUGGGCUCAACCUGGGGGCUGCGCUUGAUACUUGGUUGCUUGAGUGGGGAAGAGGGUCGUGGAAUUCCCAGUGUAGAGGUGAAAUUCGUAGAUAUUGGGAAGAACACCGGUGGCGAAGGCGGCGACCUGGUCCUGACUGACGCUGAGC
rnacentral:rRNA from 1 species